AAAUGACGGUACCUGACUAAGAAGCCCCGGCUAACUACGCGCCAGCAGCCGCGGUAAUACGUAGGUGGCGAGCGUUAUCCGGAAUCAUUGGGCGUAAAGAGGGAGCAGGCGGCAGCUAGGGUCUGCGGUGAAAGACCGAAGCUAAACUUCGGUAAGCCGUGGAAACCGAGCAGCUAGAGAGCAGCAGAGGAUCGUGGAAUUCCAUGUGUAGCGGUGAAAUGCGUAGAUAUAUGGAGGAACACCAGUGGCGAAGGCGACGAUCUGGGCUGCAACUGACGCUCAGUCCCGAAAGCGUGGGGAGCAAAUAGGAUUAGAUACCCUAGUAGUCCACGCCGUAAACGAUGAGUACUAAGUGUUGGGGGUCAAACCUCAGUGCUGCAGUUAACGCAAUAAGUACUCCGCCUGAGUAGUACGUUCGCAAGAAUGAAACUCAAAGGAAUUGACGGGGGCCCGCACAAGCGGUGGAGCAUGUGGUUUAAUUCGAAGCAACGCGAAGAACCUUACCAGGUCUUGACAUACCAAUAAAGGCCUCAGAGAUGAGGAGAUAGAUAUAAUGGAUACAGGUGGUGCAUGGUUGUCGUCAGCUCGUGUCGUGAGAUGUUGGGUUAAGUCCCGCAACGAGCGCAACCCUUGUCGCUAGUUACCAUCAUUAAGUUGGGGACUCUAGCGAGACUGCCUCUGCAAGGAGGAGGAAGGCGGGGAUGACGUCAAAUCAUCAUGCCCCUUAUGACCUGGGCUACACACGUGCUACAAUGGACGGAUCAGAGGGAAGCGAAGCUGCGAAGUGGAGCGAAACCCAAAAACCCGUUCUCAGUUCGGACUGCAGUCUGCAACUCGACUGCACGAAGUUGGAAUCGCUAGUAAUCGCGAAUCAGAAUGUCGCGGUGAAUACGUUCUCGGGCCUUGCACACACCGCCCGUCA
rnacentral:rRNA from 1 species